rnacentral:rRNA from 1 species
GUCAUUAAUUUGGUGAUUAUGAUAACAUAAGGGAAAAAAAAUGAUAUUACCUUAUUAUUAGUGUUGUCCAAAACUGGUGCCAGAAGACUCGGUAAGACCAGAGACGCAAACGUUAGUCAUCUUAAUCAGGCGUAAAGGGUGUGUAGGCUGCUUUAAAAGUUUAAAUCUUUUUAAUAGCUCUUUUGCCGUUGUCCUGCCAUUAUUUAUUUUAUUUAUAAAAUAAUAAACAAUAAUGAAUAUAAAGGCAGUACAUUUUUAAUUUUAUUAAUAUUAAUUUAAUUUAAUAAUUAUAAAGGGGACAAAAAAGAUAUCCCGGUUUAAGUAAAAAGAAUAAAAUGAAUUAAAGCUAGAAUCAAAUUGAGGAUAAACCAAAUAAUACUUAGAGUAGGGCCGAUAUCCGCAGAUACUAAGGGGAAUACUAAAGGUGAAAGCUUUUUAUCUACUAUUGAUUGACGCUGAGAAACGAAGGUGAGAACAGGAAAUAGGAUUUGAUACCCAGAUACCUCUCACUGUCAACGAUGAAUGGUGGUUGUUAGUUUUAAUAAAAACUGGUAACGAUGUUAACACGAUAACCAUUCCGCCUUGCGAGUACGGUUGCAAAACUGAAACCAAAAAAAUUAGUCGGUUUCG